UUACAAAGAGAGUACAUGGGACAGGCAGUGUAGAAGUGCCCUCUAACAAUUAUCUACCCUUAUCAGUCUUUUAAUAAGGACCCUUUUCUUCCUAUAAAUAGAGGCUACUGGGAGACUAUUAUUAGUCAUCUCUUAACUUCUCCCUCUUUCUUUCUGUGUGUGUCUCUCUCUUUCCAAACUCAAGUUCUCUUUCAUUUCAAAGAAAAUUUUAACUUUCAAUUACAUGAUACUCUAGUCAAAGUCUGAAGCUGUAGGUAGAAUAAAGCUAUAGAAUAUCAGGGAGAGAGAAGAGCACUGGUGGUGAUAUUGUUGACAGAAGAUAGAGAGCACAGAUGAUGUGCAAUUAAUGGACUGCGCAUCUCACUCCUUUGUGCUCUCUAUGCUUCUGUCAUCGCCUACAACCCCUCUCACCCUUUCUUUUUCUCCUUCUUUAACGUCUUUCUUACCUUUUUUUUAUUAUUACAAAAAAAAAGUGUUCAUUUAUGUUUCUCAUUAUCCACAUGAUUUUUUUCUUUGCUUUAUAUUCUUGUCCUUGUUUUGAUUAGUUCAGAUCAUAAGGAUGAUUCUUGAUGAUGGUAAAAUGAAAGGCAGGCUAAGCGAAGACAACAGUUGUUUGGUAAAUCGGUAGGCCAUCAAUGGGGAGAAAUGAGGAAAGCUACUGCCGGCCAGCUGGGACAUGGCAACAAGAUAGAAAAUUCUUGAAGCAAAACUAAUUCUUAGGGCUGAUGAGAAAAUUUGCUGAAAUAGUUUAUUGGAGAUGCUGAUAAAAUCUCAGUUUUUUCAGAAAAUAAUUUGCAUAAUGAGGCAGCAGAAAUUUUAACUACUACUCUGUCAUCAGCAACAAAUUAGUGUUCUUAUUGUAAAAAGAUCAAGUUCAUUUACAAAACGGGAAUCGAUAUAUACAUUUCACGUACUUUGGAUGUAGUGAUUUGAAACAAGAGACCUGUAUAUUUGUUUUAGUUUAAGUUGUUUGAAAUGAAAGCUGAUUCAUAGUUUAAUGUUAA